UCCCCUUUACUUCUUUUGGCCUUGACCUUGCAGCUCUGCCUGGGGACCAGCCCACAGGUGCCAGUGUAAACGGAAGAAAGCACAGAGUCCUCCUGGGAAGGCAGGUGUGUGCCCCGGGCUUUCCGGAAGGACUUGUCCGGUUGCGUUGUGUCCACAGAAUGAAGUUUCUCUCCUCUGACUGUUGUGUGUCAUCUGAGUUCCGGUUAGGCAGACUCUAGCUGCAAGUAGAUGCCUGUACAUCCUGCCUGUAGAACUUGAGCUGAGAUCAGAAUCUGGGGAUCAGGAAUCCACGCACAACUCAGCCGGUCACCUGGCUCUGGGUCGAGGUACCAGCAGGCUGUGGUCUCACCCAAGGGAGGACCCUCGUGCAAGCUCGCCCGGGCGGCUGUGUGUGGGAUGCGAGCCCUCUGCAGUGCUGGGCUGAGAGCCUCACUUCCUGCCUGGCCGGAGGCUACCCUGAAUUCCUGGGUUGUCUGCAGUGGCUCACUGCUUCAAGUCUGUCUUCCAUCUACGUGAGCGAGCAAGACAGAGCAAGACCUAAGACACAGCCUUUUUGCAACCUAGUCUCAAAUGUUGCCUCCAUUCCUUUCAUCGCAUUCUGUUAAUGAGAGGUCCAGGUAAUACUCACGGAAGGAAGGAGCGCGGAGCACAAGCCCCAGGCCGCAGGGCGCCUGGGGACCGUCAAGAACCUGCCUGCUGCGGAGUCUAUCUUCAGGGCACAUUCUCAGAAGAGAACUGCUGGGUCAGAGUGUGUGUGUGUGCCGGCAGGUGGAUCACACAGAUGUGCCUCCCCACCAGUCACAUGUAAGAGUGUGUUUGCCCACAGCCUGGACAGUGGGGUGUACCACCGGACAUUUCUAUUUUUACCAACCUGACAGGUGAAAAAAAUAGUAUUUCAAUGAAAAAACAUGCUCACAAUCAUUCAUAAUGAAAUCAAAACAAAACAACAUUGAAACACUGGUGUUUUCCUGCUGUAUUUCCAUAUCAUAUGUAAAGAGACUUUUUACUUCUUUGCUGAUUCUUACACCUGCAAUUGAAUACUUUUCAUCUAAUUGCACUGCUGAGCAUAUUCUGUGUGGACUAGUUGAGAAAAUGCGGGGCAUACCUUACUUUGACCUUCCCGGUGGCUCAGAUGGUAAAGAGUCCCCUGCAGCGCUGGAGACCGGCAUGGCUACC